rnacentral:lncRNA from 13 species
GGGGAUCUGCCGGGAUCCAGAUGGGAUCUGGCCCAGAGCCCAGCCAGGAUCCGGCCCAGAUCUAACUCGGAUCCCAGCCAGGAUCCCACCAAGGAUUCCAGCCCGAUUCCAGCCAGAUCCCUGCCAGAUCUCCAUCAGAUCCCAGCCAGAUCUCAGCCAGGAUUCCAGCCAGAUCCCAGCCACAUCUCCAUCAGAUCUCAGCCAGGAUCCCACCAGGACCCAGCACAGAUCCCAGCCAGGAUCCCAGCCAGAUCUCCAUCAGAUCCCAGCCCGAUCCCAGCCCCAGGCUGGUCACGCCGCUCCUCCAGCCCGGCACCGAGGCCCCGCCCUGGGACCCUCCCCGAGCUCCUCUUCCUGAAGCUUCCAAGGCUCCUCCUUGGCACCAGAUCCCUCCUGGAUCCUCCAGACCCCACCUGGAUCCAUCAGAUCCCUCCUGGAUCCUCCAGACCCCACCUGUUUCUGUCAGAUCCCUCCUGGGUCCUCCAGACCCAACCCGGAUCUUGCAGAUCGCUCCUGGAUCCUGCAGACCCCACACAGAUACUCCAGAUCCCACCUAGAUCCUCCAGAUCUCUUCUGGCUCCACCAGAUCCCUCCUGGAUUUUCCAAAUCCCACUGGGAUUCUCCAGACCCUUCCUGGCUCCACCCGAUCUCACAUGGAUCCACCAGAUCCCAUCCAACUCAACCAGAUCCCUCCUGGAUCCUCCAGAUCCCUCCUGGCUCCACCAGAUCCCUCCUGGCUCCACCAGACCCCAAUCCUGCUCCCGUUCCCGAGGCCGCUCGGCUGGGACUGGAUUCCCGAGGAUCCCCGGACUCUCCGUCCGUCCCCGCCGGAUCCCCGGGCCCGAGGACGCUGGGAUCCCACCCCUCGGCACCCCCCGGGAUCCGGGGAGCCCCGAGUGUCCCCUCCUGGGGGGCCGCUGGCACCCAGAGACCCCCGGGAUGGAUUUUCCAAGGGGCCGGCACCGAUUUCGUUGGGAUUUUGACGAUUCCCGCCCCGUUCCCGGAGCUGCAGCGUCCCCGCGGCCCUCCCCGCAGGAUCCCAAGUGCCUGGGGACAUCCGGGGACACUGAGGGGACCCUGAGCGCUGGGGGUGGCCCCGUGGCCAACGGCCCCGUGGUCGUGGUCACCCCACAGCGAUGUCCUGGUGGUCAUCUGGGCUGUGGUCACCUCACAGCGAUGUCGCCGUGGUCACCCCACAGCGAUGUCCCCUCAGUGACCCCGGCUGUAAUCACCCCACAGC